rnacentral:rRNA from 1 species
GACGAACGCUGGCGGCGUGCUUAACACAUGCAAGUCGAACGCUGAAGCUCAGCUUUUGUUGGGUGGAUGAGUGGCGAACGGGUGAGUAACACGUGAGUAACCUGCCUCCUUCUUUGGGAUAACGCCCGGAAACGGGUGCUAAUACUGGAUAUUCACUGGUCUUCGCAUGGGGGUUGGUGGAAAGGGUUUUUCUGGUGGGGGAUGGGCUCGCGGCCUAUCAGCUUGUUGGUGGGGUGAUGGCCUACCAAGGCUUUGACGGGUAGCCGGCAUGAGAGGGUGACCGGUCACAUUGGGACGGAGAUACGGCCCAGAGUCCUACGGGAGGCAGCAGUGGGGAAUAUUGCACAAUGGGCGAAAGCCUGAUGCAGCGACGCCGCGUGAGGGAUGGAGGCCGUCGGGUUGUGAACCUCUUUCGCUAAUGGUCAAGCCGCAACAAUGGUUGUGGUGAGGGUAGUGGGUAAAGAAGCGCCGGCUAACUACGUG